AGGGGCUAUACAAUUCUAUUGGGGAGGUACAGGGGGGUGUGGAGGGAUAUAGCGAGAUAUGGGGCAAUAGGGGGGGUGUUAUAGGGGGAUAUAGGGUUAUAAGGGGUUGUGGUGGGCUGUGGGAGGGUGUUUGGUGUGAUAGGAGGCAGGGGGCUAUAGAGAGGGAUGUUGUUCUAUAAGGGGUUAUGUGGGGAGCUAUGGGGGGGAAAUAGGGUGGCUGUGGGAGGUUAUUGGUGGAUAGAGGGAGAAUGGGGCUAUAGGGGGUCUAUGGGGGAUAUGGAUCUCUAAAGGGUUGUGUGGGGCCAUAGGGUGAUACGGGGCUGUAGGGUGGGCUAUAAGGGAAUGUGGGGCUAAAAGGCUGUCCCUACCUUUGCCCCCCUAUCUUUGCCCCCUCCCUUUCUCCCUUCCAUACCAGGGUGGGUGAAAUGCUGGUCAUGAAACUUAAAUCAGAAUUGAAGUUGUAUUGGAAUAGAAUAUGAUUGUUCUGUGGUCUUAAAUCUGAAACGUGUUUUCUCCUUAGAUGCAGGUAUUGUUUAAUAAGGACUUUGGAGAAGGUUUCAGUAUGAAGUCUCCUGGUCAGGAAGAAAGAAGAAUGUUUUUGGAGGACUUAAUCACGAGUGGAGCUGCUGCUGAACCUCACUUGCAACCAGCAAGCAGGUCCUGAUGAUGGCACAGGCAUUAAACAGCCCAGAACUCGUCGCUGGGGAGAGGCUGCGCAUUGCACCGUGAAGGGAGAGAUGCAGGAGGGGUUUGAACAGCGUUGUGCAGGAAUGGAUAACUGGUAAGAGAAGAGGUGUGUGUUCUGAGAGCAAGGGCUGUGCGGCUCAUCUCUGUGUUCUCCCAGGAAAUGCAAGGCAGAGCUCUCUGCUCUCUGUUCUUUCUUGCAAGGCUGCGGCCCUUCAAAGUGCACUGUGGAUGGGCGGCGCGAUGACAGCCCAAGGAUGGCAGCAGGAGAUGCAGCACAGCCCUCUCCAGCAGCAAGGUGCAUUGGUUUGUCUUGCUUAUUCUUGAAGUAGAAGGUGUGUUUAGCUUCCACAGUCAGUGGCUUGAUAGCAUGUUUAGAAGGCUUUGGGGCCCU
rnacentral:lncRNA from 1 species